GCUGACACAUCCCUGCCAAUCUCCGGCAGACCCUCCCUCCAAGACCCUCCCACCUCCUGGACAGCAUCCAUGUUGAAGCUGCCUUCAACAUGGAUGCUGUCCAGGAAGUAGGAGGGUCUGGGAGGGAGGGUCUGCCGGAGAUUGGCAGGGAUGUGUCAG